rnacentral:rRNA from 1 species
UACGUAGGGUGCAAGCGUUUGUCCGGAAUUAUUGGGCGUAAAGAGCUCGUAGGCGGUCUGUCGCGUCGGCUGUGAAAACCCGCGGCUCAACCGCGGGCCUGCAGCCGAUACGGGCAGGCUAGAGUUCGGUAGGGGAGACUGGAAUUCCUGGUGUAGCGGUGAAAUGCGCAGAUAUCAGGAGGAACACCGAGUGGCGAAGGCAGGUCUCUGGGCCGAUACUGACGCUGAGGAGCGAAAGCGUGGGGAGCGAACAGG